GAUAACAAGUCAUUGGGAAGAUGCAAGAAAUAUAUUGAAGAAACCUUUAGUGCUUGCUGAAUUUGGAAAGUCUAGUAGAUCAGGUGAAGGAUCAAGAGAUAUAUUUAUGAGUAGUGUGUAUAGAAAUGUGUAUAAUUUGGCAAAAGAAGGUGGAACAAUGGGAGGAAGUUUAGUAUGGCAACUAAUGGCACAUGGAAUGGAGAAUUAUGAUGAUGGUUAUUGAAGAAAUAGGCAUUACAUGACACAAGGGCAAAUUAGUCAUUACUGUUUAAUCAAGUUGGUUAAAGUUGUUAAGUGUAGUUAGUUAGAAAUUUGUUAGGAAGUUAGUUAGUAAAACAGUAUAUGUACUGCAUCAAGUUACAAUACAAUGUAUUCAGUUU
rnacentral:misc_RNA from 1 species